GUGCCCGUUGUAGUUAAGGCUUGAAUAACCUCAUCAGGAUCAACACCCUCGUCACGAAGUCUAGAGUACUCGUCAUUUUCAAUAUCCUGCAAAUGAUAAAACCUGUUGAUGGAGGUUCUAUCAAAUGGUAUCCAUUUAGCCCGCACAAACACUCGAAAAUCACGAUGCUCCUUCGCAUUGGCGUAGAACUCUCUAACAACCGGAAUUAGCGCCGGUCGUGGCUGCCGAGCAAACACCUCCCAAUUCCGUCGACCUAUUUGCUCUGUCAUAUAAUUGUCAAAACCACGUUCAGGAAUACAGGUCUUGUGUACCACCAAGCUAUUAUAACGUUCAGCGGCCUCGGCACUAAUGAAUUUGCUCCUGUCAAAUGAGCUAGAAGAGGAGGCUGCGGCUUUAGUUCUCUUUUUAGGCGGCAUUGGACCUGUACAAAGGUAAAAACAGCAAACCAUGAGCAACAAACAGUAAUAAAGGACAAUAAGGCAAGGCUAAAAAUCUAGCCAUACGAGGAAAUUAUGGUCGAACGUGCAAGUGAUGUACUCUAAACCCAAUUGUCAACUCAUAAUCAUCUACAUGGCAAUUCCCACAUAAUUCAAAUAGCACAAUAGCCAAAAUAGCUCCUUCUACCCAACUAAGUUCACCUAGACAAUUCAUCAAACACAUUGAAUGCACCAAUUUUUCACCAAAAAAUUGCCUAAAAGUUGGGAGUAGUUCAUGCCACAAUAUUCACACAACACACAAAGUUCUUGACACUACUACAAGGCAAGACCUCCUCAUAACAUAAUUAACAAAAAUAGGCACAUAAACGCAACAACUAUAAUGUAAGAGGAGCAAAUACAAAAGCCAUACCUGGAAUGUUGUUGUGGAAACUAAUUGAGAUGGAUGAAUGCACACUUAUCAACAAAGAGAUGUGGAAAAACAACAAAGGGGAGUGGUAGGGGGGCGAAAAAAUUUUGGAUUUGAAAAAAAAUGUGAUGUGGGUGAGGUGAUAAUAUAAAUUAACCAAAAACAAAACUAAAAAAAAAAAAAGAGAGGGGAAGAGUUUACCUUGGAGGGGUUGAGGGGAGAAGAAAAAAAAAUAAAGGUAAAGGUUAGGGGGAGAAGAUGAGAGGGGAGAGGGGAGAGAUGAGAGGGAAAGAGAGUUGGGGAAAAUCUUAUGAGG
rnacentral:lncRNA from 1 species